rnacentral:misc_RNA from 1 species
UCCCAGUUCACCUGGGCAGUCUCAUUAGAGUCCCCACCUUUUAGUGCUGGCAACUAAUGACAAGGGUUGCGCUCGUUGCGGGACUUAACCCAACACCUCACGGCACGAGCUGACGACAGCCAUGCAGCACCUGUACAGCGGCCCUUUCGGGAAACCACAUUUCUGCGGCGGUCCACUGUAUGUCAAGUCUGGGUAAGGUUCUUCGCGUUGCAUCGAAUUAAACCACAUGCUCCACUGCUUGUGCGGGCCCCCGUCAAUUCUUUUGAGUUUCACCCUUGCGAGUGUACUCCCCAGGCGGUAUACUUAACGCGUUAGCUCCGGCACAGCUGGGGUUGAGUCCAGCUACACCAAGUAUACAUCGUUUACGGCAAGGACUAC